GCUCUGUGGGUUUUAAAGCAUGAAGACUAGGUUUGGACUCAGGGCUUGUCUGGCUUCCUCUGUCCUUCACACACCCCGGUGAUGUUCUUUGGCUAAUGUAAUCACCACUCUAGCCUGAAUGAACUGGUCUCAGGAGCAUGGGAGAAUCUGCCUUGCCCACCUGCUGCAAAGCUAACCUGUUCUGCUACACUGGUAUCCAAAGGAAGAAUGUUCCCAAAGCAAAGACCGUUCUGGAGGGCUUCUGACAGCUGCCUAGACUGGGUUCGGUAUCAGCCCAAGAGUAGACUUCUCUCCAAGAAGAUUCCCAAAAUGAAGCUGGGAGAGCUGUAUCCAAACCGAUGGACCCUCACACAGCAGCCCAAGAAACACUAAAAAGCAAAGCAACACAGCACCUCCUAAAGAUCGCAGCUCCUUGGUUACUGAGCACAAAAGUAAGGGAAACGGUUGAAACGUAAGACGAAGAACGCAAAAGUCUACUUGUAAAAAUGAUCAGCGACGUCAGAGAGGACACAAACCAACCGAGGACUGGACAAAGAAGUCAUGGAAGAGGGGAAGAGGUUGGCAUCAUGGGUGAGAGAUUUAUCAGGGAGAUCAAGAUUUUGAAAAGUACGCUGAAAAGAAAUGUUGGGGACAAAAAAAAAAGGUGAAAUGGAAACCAGUAAAACAAUCAAAUAAGCAAAUAACCAAAACCAUUGGUAGAUGAUGAGAGGAGGGAGGAGAAAGGAAAGGCAACUUCGAGAAAAAUACUGCGUAUCAGUCAGUCAUGCAGUCUGCAGUCUGUCAUCUGUCUGUCUGUCACCUAGAUAAUAAAUUAAAGUCUAAACGUGACAACAACUCAAACUAUGGGACAUGAUCAGAGACCAAACCAAAGUGUUCAUGGGGUACAAAAGGAGCUGAGAUAAAAUACAAAUCAUCAGACAGGGAAGAGGGGAAUGGGGAACUUCUUUGGGAAGGAGGAGGGAGAUCAGUAGGGAGAAGGAGGGAGGUAAAGUAACAGUAAGACCCAAAGAGAAUCAUGGCAUUAUCUGUUUACCACCCAAAACCCUGCAAUGUGAGUAAUUCAGCGUAUAAAUAUACAUAUAUAAACUAAAUGAAAAUUUCUCGUAA